rnacentral:snRNA from 1 species
UUGCUUUGACAGCACAUAUACUAAAAUUGGAACGAUACAGAGAGGAUUAGCAUGGCCAUAGUGCAAGGAUGACACACAAAUUCACAAAGCGUUCCAUAUUUUA